rnacentral:rRNA from 1 species
GACGAACGCUGGCGGCGUGCUUAACACAUGCAAGUCGAGCGGUAAGGCCCUUUCGGGGGUACACGAGCGGCGAACGGGUGAGUAACACGUGGGUGACCUGCCCUCAGCUCUGGGAUAAGCCUGGGAAACCGGGUCUAAUACUGGAUAUGACUCCAUGACGCAUGUUGUGGGGUGGAAAGCCUUGUGCGGCUGAGGAUGGGCCCGCGGCCUAUCAGCUUGUUGGUGGGGGUGANGGCCUACCAAGGCGACGACGGGUAGCCGGCCUGAGAGGGCGACCGGCCACACUGGGACUGAGACACGGCCCAGACUCCUACGGGAGGCAGCAGUGGGGAAUCUUGCGCAAUGGGCGAAAGCCUGACGCAGCGACGCCGCGUGAGGGAUGACGG